rnacentral:sRNA from 1 species
AUCCAAACACUUGUACUUGUUUACAACUCACAGCGUUAAAUUAAUCCAAGUCUCUAAACAACUUCCAUUUCUUUUUUAACCCCUCUCAUAUUUUCAUUAUUGAAUUUAAAACAUUGAAAUACUACUCUUAAAUGAUAAAUAUUUUGGCAAUGAAUGCAACCUAUCAAAUAAUCCCGAGUUUUUUUUCUACCAGGCUUAAUUUGAUGAUAACGAUUCUCUAAUGUCAUCAACUUGUACAUUGGUACUCUUAUUCAUGAUAACUCAUUAAUUUAACUCGCCUCAGAAGUGCAUUUUUUUGUUUUUUCAUAAACCUUAUACAUACCUCUCAUUAUCUGUAAAACAUGAGUUCUGGAACUUGAGUGAUACAUGUAUAUAUGCUGUGCAUUUUGCCGCUUUUUGAUGACUGCAACAAAUAAAAUAAUUUUACAAUUUG